UCCCCGAUAGCUCAGUUGGUAGAGCAGCGGACUGUUAAUCCGCGUGUCGUUGGUUCGAGCCCAACUCGGGGAGCCA
rnacentral:tRNA from 1 species